rnacentral:rRNA from 1 species
UACGAAGGGGGCUAGCGUUGCUCGGAUUGACUGGGCGUAAAGGGCGCGUAGGCGGUUCGUACAGUCAGACGUGAAAUUCCUGGGCUCAGCCUGGGGGCUGCGUUUGAUACGUGCGGACUUGAGUGCGGAAGAGGGUCGUGGAAUUCCCAGUGUAGAGGUGAAAUUCGUAGAUAUUGGGAAGAACACCGGUGGCGAAGGCGGCGACCUGGUCCUUGACUGACGCUGAGGCGCGAAAGCGUGGGGAGCAAACAGG